CAUGUCGCCUGGAAUUGACAGUGGUUUCGAAAUGAAGUUUACCACUAAAGUCCCUGACUUAAUGGGUACCAUGGAUGAUGAUUUGGGAUGAGAUCUUCACAUCUCCUGAAUUGACAAAGAAGUCAGACUGCUUCAACGCUAUACAGCUUGGUGAGAAGGAGCAUGGAAUUGAGGUUUCAGCUUUCAGGAUGUGAGCACAAGAACUCCAGAAUAUGGAGGAUUUGAGCGCCAUCUUCAGAAAUGGAUUGUGAAGGACCAUACUGUCUUUGAAGUUGGGACUGCAUGCCAAAUCAUUGUGAUAGAGCAAUUGGUGUGGAAAGGUGACAGACUGGAGGGUCCACUUUCCCCGGACGUGUUGGUCAAUAAAUGGAAAUACCGGGCAAGAUCUUCAAGGAUACCCACUUGUUUGUUUGAAAUAAAAUAAAAAAUUCUCAGCUUUAAA